CUUGUAAAUGAUAUUAGAUAAAUUCUUCCCAGAAUAGAAGAUACAAUUCCAAAUUUAUUCUUGGUUCAAAUUAACCCUUAUAUGAACAGCUAGGAUAUUAAGCAAAAUGGAUAUUCAUAUCCUACAAUUCCUCUCUUUAGAUCAUAUCGUGAUCUACCUUACGGAAUAUCCAUGGGAGGCCUGCGGCAGAGAAACGAAAGGAG